UGGCUCUGGUCGAGCUUGCGCUUCUUGGUCUGACCCUGUGCAGACGUCCCAGCAUGCAGCUGCACCUUCUUAUUCUUCUUCUUCUUGUUCUUCUUCCCUUUCUUAAAGGAUCGACGACCAGAAGAAGACCCUCCCACAACAUUCACCAACUCCUUAUGGAGUUGGUGAUCCUUCUCAAAGUUCUGCAGCAACUCCAACAAGCCGUGGUAGUUCACUGCAGGCUUUGUCAUUCGAAAAUGAGUAAGGAAG
rnacentral:lncRNA from 1 species